UUUUCUUGAUAGGUCAAGAACUUGCCUCUUUGAAUCAUUUGGAAUAUUUUCUUUCACCAUCAGUAGAUAUACAAGAACAGGUUUAUCAUGUUCAAAAACUCCACCACAUUCUAGAAAUAUUGGUCAGUUGCAAGCUUUUCAUUCAUCUUCAACAUGAGCAGCUUUUUUCUUUAACACAAUCCUGUGUAAAAUAUUACAAACAAAACCCUCUUGAUGAGCAGCACAUCUUUCAGCUACCCGUCAGACCAACCGCCGUAAAGGAUUUGUACCAGAGUGAGAAGCCACAGAAAUGGAGAGUGGAAAUAAAUAGUGGUCACAAGAAGGUGAAAACUGUUUGGCAGCUGAGUGACAGCCUGCCUGUGGACCAUCUGAACUCCCCCAGAGUCGAUUUUUCUGAGCUAACAUUCAAUGGUAGCUUGGAAGAGAAGAUGUGCUUCACCACCAUGAUCACCAGCAG